rnacentral:ncRNA from 2 species
GCAUAAAAAUUACUCCGAGUUACCCGGCUACGUGCAACGCAUAUGCCGGACUAACCGAUGGGUUGUAUGCGGAAACGAAACAGCCUCCCGACUUGGAAAGGAGAAAACAAAGGCUUCAA